rnacentral:rRNA from 1 species
UACAGGGGGUGCAAGCGUUGUUCGGAAUUACUGGGCGUAAAGGGCGCGUAGGCGGUUUAGUAAGUCAGAUGUGAAAGCCCGGGGCUCAACUCCGGAAUUGCAUUUGAAACUGCUAGGCUAGAGUGCAGUAGAGGAUGGCGGAAUACCCAGUGGAGAGGUGAAAUUCGUAGAUAUUGGGUGGAACACCGGUGGCGAAGGCGGCCAUCUGGGCUGUAACUGACGCUGAGGCGCGAGAGCGUGGGGAGCAAACAGG